rnacentral:lncRNA from 1 species
GGAAGGGGAAGGAGGUUAAUGGAGACGCGACGGCCGAUGGGAUUAGAGUGGUGGACAGCGGUGGCUGUGGGUGGUUGACUACCCAACGCCAUAGAGGAUAAAGAAAAGAAGAAGGGUGGGAAGGGGUGGCGCUCCAGGCUAUAGGUGGCUGGUUCGGUAGGAGUGGUGGUCUUGAUGGAUCUCACCGGUCAUCACCUCUAGCGAAAGGUGACAGAAAUAAAAAGAGGAAGAGAGGAAGAGUGGUGCAGUGAUUGUGGUAUUCGUACAACGUCGGUCGGCUAGUGGUAAUGCGGUUGUGGUUUUUUAGAGAGAGAAAGAGGAUAGGGUUUACGGUGGUGGUUUGUCAGCGGAAAGCUCACCGGAAUACAAUAGAUUUUAGCGGCACUAAGAAGGAGAAAAAAGAGAGAAAAUGAGAGAGGAGAGAGGUAUCUAAUAUGUGUGUAUAUCUGUGUGUUUUGUUAAAGUCUGUGUUGUGUAUUUUGAGUGAUGAUAAAAAUUACCCCCUUCCCCUCUUUUAUAAUACAAAAUAACCUCCUUUUUACCCUAAAAUAUUAAAAACUAACUCCUUCAUCUCUUUAAUGUAUGAAUUAAUCCACAGGAUAUUGUCCAAUGAGUUUUUCAUCUUUUUAACCAAUAAAUACAGACUCUUUAUUCAAGGGAUAAAAAUGUCAACCCAUCACCUCAAAUGUCUCUUUUAAAAAGGUGAUGAAAUCUUGAUUUUAUUGAUUUAUUGCUCUGUGUAUUAAAAUAAAUAAACUGACUUACAUUUGCAGAUCGUAUUAAAUAAUGUACAAAAAUAUGAAUGUCGAUGUAUAAUCACAGAAAAAUAAAAACAACAAUAAUUAAAAUUAUAAUGUGCGGUAAAAAAUUAAAGUACUAUGUUGUGUACGUAUGCAAAUGUUUGUGCCAAAAUUUAAAAUGAUAAUAAACUGACAAAAAAUCCUAAAAUUUACUAAAUUAAGGACAAUUAUCAAUAAAUUAUGUAAAAUUAAAAUAUGAUAAUAAAUUGCUAUAAUUCCUAAAAUAAUGAUGAUAAUUAAUAAUUCAUUAACAAUUGUAAAAACUGUGUGAAAAUUGCAUUUUCUACCAUUUAACGAUCAGAAAGCCUAAAUGCGUUAAUUCUAAGCUUGGAGAGCCAAAAUUGGGUGUCAACAGUUGUUUUCUUUUCAUUUGAAGAUAAUAUAGAAGUCUAAAUACAAAAACAUUGAUGUGUAGUCAAUUUUGCUCAACAAAAAAUUAUUAUUUGAUAAAAAAAAUUCAAGCAAACUCCAAUUUAGAGUUGUUAUCUCAAUAUGUCCUAUUUUUUAGUAGACGAACCUAAUGUACUCAAAUUUUAUACCUGCAAAAUUUAUCAAACUGAAAAACAGUACUUAAUAAAAGCAAAUAAGUAAUUAAGCUUGACUUUUUCAAGAAAUUAAAAAAAUGGCAUAUAAUGUUUAACUAAUAUAAGAUAAAUAAAUAAAGGCAUUACAGAUUUUAACUAAAGGCAUACAAAAUAUUCAACUGAAGACAGGCAUGCAUAAAAGGUCUGAUUAAAGGGCAGAUUAAUCGAGAAUAUCCUAUUUUAGGGUGAACAAAUCCAACUCAUGCUUGCAAAAAAAAUUUUUAAAAAAUACGGUGGAUUUUUUUUCUUUUUCCUUUUUUAUUUUUUUCUUUUUUUUUCUCUUUUUUUUUGAGAAAUUAAAGAUAACAUGCAGUGCUUAACUAAAAAAUAAGUUCAUUACAAUAUAUAUAGAUAAAGGUAAAGCAUGCAAUGCUUAAAUAACAAAAUAAAUGCAUUGCUAUGUGCAAGUAAAUAUAAAAAUGACAUGUGAUGCUCUAAAUUAUAAAACAAAUGCAUUGCGAUAUGUGCAAGGAAAGGUCAAGAUGACAUGAAGUGCUUAAAUGAUAAAACAAAUGCAUUGUAAUAUUUGCGGGACGUGCAGUGUCUAAAUGAUAAAAUAAAUGCAUUGCGAUGUGUGCAAGUAAAGACAAAAUGACAUGCAAUGCUUAAAUGAUAAAUCCAUUGCGAUAAGUUCAAGUAAAGACAAAGAUAAUAUGCAGUUCUUAAAUGAUAAAAAACAGCAUUGCAAUAUUUGUGAGGCGUGCAGUUCUUAAAUGAUAAAAUAAAUGCAUUGCGACAUGUGCGCAUUGUGCUUAAAUGAUAAAAUAAAUGCAUUGCAAUAUGUGUAUGUUAUGCUCAAAUGAUAAAAUAAAUUCAUUACAAUAUGCGUGUGUUGUGCUUGGAUGAUAAAAUAAUGCAUUGUGAAAUGUGACGGUAAAGGCAAAGAUGAAAUGAAGUGCUUAAAUGAUAAAAUAAAUGUAUUUGCGAUAUUUGUGAGUAAAGGCAAGAAUGAUAUGUGAUGCUUAAAUGAUAAAAUAAAUACAUUGCAAUAUUUGUGAGGCGUGUAGUGCCUAAAUGAUAAAUAAAUGCAUUGUGAUAUGUGUGUGCGGUGCUUAAAUGAUAAAUGCAUUGCGAUAUAUACAGACAAAUACAAAGAUGAAAUAGGUGCUUAAAUGAAAAAAUAAAUGCAUUGCGACAUGUGCAGGCAAAUGCAAAGAUGACAUGUGGUGCUUAAAUGCUAAAAUGAAUAAAUUCAUUGUGAUGCGUGCAAUUAAAGGCAAGGAUAAAAUGCAGUGCUUAAAUAAUAAAUAAAUGCAUUGCGGUAUAUACCAGUAAAGACAAAUAUGACAUGCAGUGCUUAAAUAAUAAGAUAAAUGCAUUGCGAUAUUUGCGAGGUGUGCAGUUCUUAAAUGAGAAAAUGCAUUACGAUAUAUGUGUGAACAGUGCUUAAAAAUAAAUGCAGUACAAUAUGUUUCAGAUAAAUGCAAAAAUGACAUGCGAUGCUUAAAUUAUAAUUGCAUUGCGAUGUGUGUAUAUAAAGGCAAAGAUGGAUUGCGGUGCUUAAAUGAUGAUAAUAAAUAAAUGCAUCAAGAUGCGUGUAAAUAAAGAUAAAGAUAGCAUGCGGUGCUUACAUGAUAAAAUGAAUAAAUGCACUUUGAUAUGUGCAAGCAAAGGUAAGCAAAAAAUACAGUGCUUAAAUGAUAAAUAAAUGCAUUGCGGUAUGUGCAAUCAAAGACAAAAAGAAAUGCAGUUCUUGAUAAAUAAUAAAAUAAAUGCAUUGCGAGAUACGCAAAUAAAGGCAAGGAAAGCAUGCAGUGAUAACAUAAAUAUAUUGCGAUGCGUGCAAGUAAAGGCAAAACUAGCAUGCAGUACAAAAAGAAAUAAAUGUAAUGCGAUAUGUGCAAGUAAAGACUGGCAAGCAUAAAUAUUUAAUUAAAAAAACAUGCAUAAUUAUCUUAUUGGAGGGUAGACUAACCCAAUUGUUCAAUUUUAGGGUGGACAAACUCAUGUAAAAAAUAAUUAUUGAAUAAAAAAUUAUUUGGGGAUGAAAGUAUUCACAUAUUCCCAAUGUUGCAUUCAAAAUUACCCCAAUAUCAAACUGGGAGAUGCUAGGGAGCGCAAGAUUGCGUACUUGCUGGAGAGAAAGAAUGAUUUUGGGGUUGUGACAACCAAACUCUACAUAGAGUUUUCUACACAUCUCGAAUGCUAUGGGAAUUAGGCCAAUGUAGUUCAAAAUAAGAAAAUAGGAUAAAUUUUGAGGCAGUUCUCAAAAAUUUUCUCAGUGUAUGAUUUAUGCUGACAUUGUCUCCUUAGAAAGAAGCUUUUAAAAAAUCUCUUGCUAUUAUUAAAAAAAUGCAUGGCGUCUCCGAUUGUUUAUGAAGACUUGAGAAUGAAUGAAGUCUCCGAUUAUCUACGGGGACCUGAUGAAUGACAUCUCCAAUUGUUAUGAAAAUUGAUGUUUAUUAUCGUUUUCAAUUAUCUACAAAGAUUAAGGCCCUCAACUAGUGAGGUGACUGAAAUCUAUUAACCUCUCAAUUGACGGGACUAUUGAAAUGUAAAAGGCUCUAGAUUGGUAAAACAAAUGUGAUAGCCUCUCAAUUGGCAGAGCUAUAAAAAAUUUUAAAAAAAUACUCAAAAAUAGACACUUAACUAAAAUAUAAAAUAUCGGUAUUUAAAGGUAUGUACUUGAAAGGAAAAGUCAAAUGCCCUUAUUUCAAAACUAGACGUCUUUAAUAAAAACUAAAAAUGCAUGUAUGUAAAAGUGGGCACCUUAAAUAAAAAUUAAAAAAUAUUCGUAUGUGAAAGUGAGCAUCUUGAAAAAAGAAAGAAAAGAUUUUGUAUUUUCUUGAUAAAAAGUGUUGAAAGAUAAAGAAGACACGAUCAUGUCUUGACUUUAGUUGGUACCAAUAAUUAGUAGUGUGCAUAAGAAUUCCCCCAUCUCCUUUCCAACAUAACUGAGAUCGACUUCAGGGUAACUCUCAUAGUUUCAAGUGUUACCCCAGACACGCCUAAAUAUCAACAAGAUUUUCUUGUCUUGCUUCAAAUAAAGGUCUCGAGCUAUACAUAUCAUCAUGUUUCAAGCGCCCUUUCUAGAAUAAAAGUCCCAUUUCACACAUAUUUGAGCAAUUUCUUUUUGAAUUUAGGGACAUCUAAAGAAAUACACUCACACUCACAAAAAAUUCAAUGCAUGCAAUUGUGAUAUCAUAGGCUUGACCUUCAUGUAAGUAUCCACUAAUAUGAGAACACUUGAAAUACGAUCUCGUUGGACUUAUUAUUGGCUGGUAAUAUAGGCUUGGGGACGAGUAGGAUGAUAUUUGGGAUAAAAGUGACUAAUCUCUCAAUGAACAUUAAUUGCAUUUGUGAUUUCAACGUUAGUUGCACUUGGAUGCAUGAUCUUCUUAGUUGUGCUGCGUUGUUCCUUAUUUUGUACUUGCUUUGACUUCUUUUGAAUCUUGCGUUGGAGUUUUCCCCCUUUUUUCAGGAAUAUAUAAAUAUAUAUAUAUAUAUAUAUAUAUAUAUAUGUAUAUAUAUAUUUGUUCUUUUAUUUAUUUUUCUCUUUUUUUUAUGAAGGUUUUGCUCCUUUUAAAGUAUAAUAAAUUUAGAGCUAAUAAAUAUGUAAAGACACAAUAAUUCAUCAAAUAUGUACAAAGACUAUAAUAAUGUGUCACUUGGGUCGUGGACCCUUCGGACAUAAAGUUGUCUAAUGAUGCAUGCACCUAAAAAGGUGUUAUUUAGCUAUAUCCAAUGUUGACUAAGAGUGGGUAGACACGGACUUGAAUUUCCUAUAUGAGAAGGCAUGUAGUCCCGCAGCAGUAAAACUCCUGCUCACCCCACACAUGCACCGACUCUCUAAAGUAAGGUGAUUUGAAAGAAUUAUUAGGAAAGUACAAUGUACAAUCCGUGAGUACAAUGUGUGUGAGUGUCAGUAUUUCGAAGUGGAGAAAACAUGAGCGUAAUGUCAGUUUAUAUAUAGCAAUAAAUAAAUAAACAGUUUAUACAAAAUAAUACCAACUAAACAAUUUAUGUCACAUAAACAAGAUAAAUCAAGGCAAUUAAUAUGAAACAAAUAACAAUGUAUAAAAACAUAAAUAUUUACCUAAGUCUGUAAUGAUCAGAACCUUUUGCAUUCCCCAGCAUAGUCGCCAAACUGUCAUACCCUAUUUUCACCUAGGUGAAAACGAGCAUGACGUUAUAGACUCAAAAAGAAUUAAUUUUGUACAAAGUCGCUUCCUAAUUUUUAAGAAAAAUAAGAAAACUUAUGUAUUUAUUAACAAAUAUGACUUUAUCUAAUCUACGAAACCAAAUUAAAUUCUAGACAAGGUUUAAAUUAUUCAAAAGGAAAGGGAUUAGGCAUCCUUCACAAUCUACAAAUGUGAUUUUCGAUUAGAUUUAGGUUAAUUAAAAGAGAAAAAGAAAAAUUCAGUGUUUGUAAAUACAGAUAAAAAUAUGUCUCAAAAUAAUAUAAUGCAUAUGCUAUCUAAAAAUAAAAAUAUAUAAAUAUGCAUGUAUAGAUAAGAUUUAAUAAAGAAAAAUUAUUCUGAAGAAAAACACUACAUAAUAAUAUUUUUUAAUGUAAGAAGUGUAAAUUAUUUGAUUAAAUAUCUAAUCAAUUUUAAUAUACAUAUUAACGGCCUAAAUUUACCUAAACGCGUAAUGAAUACUGUGUAAGUAAAAGCACCCCACCCGAUGCCCCAAAAUAAAAUUUUCACCAUAAAUGAUAUUUAUACAAGUGUAAGAAAUAAAAAGUACAAACACAAUUUAAACUCCUCUUUAAAUGUCAUUCCCGGCAAGUAUUCCCAAUAACCUGUAUAAAUAUUUGUAGUAAAAAUGUUAGUAACGAAUAAAUAAUUAUCAAAUGACUCGAGAAGGUAUGUGUGCAUAUAUGUAAAAAUAUAUAUAUAUAAUAUAAUUUUUGUUAAAACAGUGGGCUCGAAUAAAGUUUUUAAAUAUUAUAAGAAUUUCAUCAUUGCUGAAUUUAUUUAUUUUUAUUACAUACUUGUAUACGUAUACGUAAUAUUCGUCUUUUAAUUUUUGAAGGACUCAAAAAUCGACAAAUCGGCCAACUAGCGUAGUAUUUAUCCGUUAUCAAUAUAAAAAAUGAAAAUGCAAUAAAAGUAAAAAUAAAUCCAAAACAGUCGAAAAAAUCAUCUAAACAGUAGCAAAGUAACAGGAUUUCCAAAGUAAUCUUAUCAUCCGUAGGAUAACAAUGGAAUGUAGCAAACAACAUAUUUAUGACAGAGAUAGCCAAAAAUAGAGCAAAACAACAGCAAUAAAUAUCACAGGGCAGCAAGCGAAAGUUAGAAUAAGAAAAAAAGAAAAGAAAUUAUAAAUACAAUCAACGAGGUUAUGAAAAAAAAUAGUGAAAACAAUGGAGCUUAUCAGUUUUAACGGAGCUUCACUAGAGAAUAAAACCUCCGACAAGAUCUGCAAUAAAUGGGGGAGCUGAACAUUCUUCUAGGAUGAAUGUCGAAAAUAUAAUAACCAACCAGCUCUGCAAAAUCACACCCAUCCGGUUCAACCAAGAAAAAAGUAGAUCAAGCAUGAAAAAGUUCUAGCAAAUUUGAAGAUUUUUACUUCCCCUUUUCUAUCAGUUAAUAAAUAUAUGCUUUAUAAUAAAAGGAUUUCAUAAAAUAGAUUGUCACACUGCUUUCUUGCUCUCUUUGUUGAAACCAGCCAAAUCAUCUACACAUAAUCAAAGAUCGAUGAGAUUUUUCUUGCUGUUAAUAAACUCAAGGAGACGGAGUAGUAAUUAAAGAAAAAAUAAGGAUGAAGGAAAAUGAUGCAGUGACGGUAUUUAAGGAGCUUCGCGGUCACCACCUCCAACAAAGGAAUGGCGAAAACAAGGAAGGAUGGUUGGACGUUCUUAACAGGAGGCCCGUCCACUAGUGACCAACUCCAGCGAGCAGUGGCCAAAAAUAAGGAAGAAGGGGAAGGAGGUCGAUGGAGAUGCAGCGGUCGGUGGGAUUAGAGCGGUAGACGGCGGCGGCUGUGGGUGACUGAUUACCCAGCGCCGUGGAGGAGAAAUGAAAGAAGAGGGGUAGGAAGGGGUGACACUUCAGGCUUCAGGUAGCUGGUUUGGUAGGAGUAGUGGUCUUGAUGGAUCUUGUCGGUCAUCACCUCCGGCGAAAGGUAACAGAAAUGGGAAAAAGAAGAAAAGAAGGGUGGUGCAGUGAUGGUGGUGUUCGUACAACGUCAGUCGGCUGAUGGUGAUGCGGCUGUGGGUUUUUGAGAGAAAGAAAGAGCAUAGGAUUUACGGUGGUGGUUUGGCGGCGGAAAGCUCACCGAAAUACGAUGGAUGUUGGUGGCAUUGAGAAGAUGAGAAGAA